GCAAUUCAAAAUACACACAAGAGGAUAUAAACACACCUUUUUGCAUGAUUUGUUUUUGGUAAAAAUUCUUGUUCCUUUUUUUUGUUGUGAGCUCCAAGAGCAAUGAGAAAGCCGCCACCACUCUUUCCAUGAUGUGAACAAACCAACCACCACCACUUCAAUUUUUAAGGAUACGAAGUGCGAGAAUGUAUUCGUGUCGGAGCUAAAGAAUUGAAGGAAAGCGAGCCGGUACGAGGACCGAUGACAUGAUCGGAUCGAAGUCGCAACUUAGGAAAGAAAGUGGCUAAGGUGAAGACACUUCGCUUCGGCUAUUUAUAUUAUUGAAUAUCUGCUAUGUGAUUGUUGUGAGCUAUUCUCUUAGACUAUUUAUAUUGUUGAAUAUAUGCUAUAUGAUUGAGUGAGAGCACUUUGAUGCUUGCUAUUUGAUAUAAUGGCUUUUUGUGAUGAUGACUUGUAUUUUGUGAUAUUUAAUUGUCUGUUGACGGCAUAUCGAUUGUGUAAGCGAAGGGUUUCUCCAAGUAUCGGUUAGACGAGAUUCUAACGAUGCUUUAGAUCUUUUGUGGUUUUGAAUAGAGAGGUUUUCUCAAAAAGAGUUACACAAGGUGGGAACAUUUUAUUUAAUUUACU
rnacentral:lncRNA from 1 species